UGUUCUGUGGCUUAGUUGGUUAAAGCGCUGGUCUAUUCAUGGGUUCGAAUCCCACUAGAACGU
rnacentral:tRNA from 1 species